AUUGAACGCUGGCGGCAGGCCUAACACAUGCAAGUCGAGCGGAAACGGAGGUAGCUUGCUACCAGACGUCGAGCGGCGAACGGGUGAGUAACGCGUAGGAAUCUACCUAGUAGAGGGGGAUAGCCCGGGGAAACUCGGAUUAAUACCGCAUACGCCCUAAGGGGGAAAGGACAGGGGAGUCUUCGGACCUUGCGCUAUUAGAUGAGCCUGCGUCGGAUUAGCUAGUUGGUAGGGUAAAGGCCUACCAAGGCGACGAUCCGUAGCUGGUCUGAGAGGAUGAUCAGCCACACUGGAACUGAGACACGGUCCAGACUCCUACGGGAGGCAGCAGUGGGGAAUAUUGGACAAUGGGGGCGAACCCUCGAUCCAGGCCAUGCCGCGUGUGUGAAG
rnacentral:rRNA from 1 species